rnacentral:rRNA from 1 species
AACGAACGCUGGCGGCGUGCCUAACACAUGCAAGUCGGAUGUGCCGCAAGGUGCAUGGCAGACGGGUGAGUAACGCGUAGGGAAUCUACCUUUUUGUGGGGAAUAACGCUCCGAAAGGAGUGGUAAUACCGCAUGAGACCGUGGCCUGGGAUGGUUACGGUGAAACCUGGGGACCGCAAGGCCUGGGGCAAAAAGAGGAUCCUGCGUCUGAUUAGCUAGUUGGCGGGGUAAUGGCCCACCAAGGCGACGAUCAGUAGCCGGCCUGAGAGGGUGAUCGGCCACACUGGAACUGAGACACGGUCCAGACUCCUACGGGAGGCAGCAGUGGGAAUUUUGCGCAAUGGACGAAAGUCUGACGCAGCAACGCCGCGUGGGUGAUGAAGGUCUUCGGACUGUAAAACCCUGUCGUCAGGGACGAAGGUGGCAGUGUUAAUAGCGCUGUUACUUAACGGUACCUGGAGAGGAAGCCCCCGGCUAACUCUGUGCCAGCAGCCGCGGUAA